GCAAGUCGAACGAUGAUCCGGUGCUUGCACCGGGGAUUAGUGGCGAACGGGUGAGUAACACGUGAGUAACCUGCCCUUGACUCUGGGAUAAGCCUGGGAAACUGGGUCUAAUACCGGAUAUGACUUCUCAUCGCAUGGUGGGGGGUGGAAAGCUUUUGKGGUUUUUGAUKGRMUCCCGGSCCAUCCACUUGGUGGGGGGGKAAUGGGCCAACCAGGGSAACAACGGKAACCCGGCCGGAAAGGUGAACGGGCCCCCUGGGAAUGGAAACCCGGCCCAAAUCCCACCGGAAGGCRCCRUGGGGAAUAUUGGCCMAUGGGGGAAAGCCCGGAGGCACCACCCCCCCGGGAGGAAGAACGGCUUUCGGUUGGAAACCUCCUUUCAUAAGGAAAAAACCCCUUCGGGKGGACGGACUUGGCAAAAAAGCCCCCGGCAACUUCCUGGCCACCRCCGGCGKAAUUCCUAAGGCGCCAGCCUUAAUCCGGAUAAUUGGCCUWAAGAACUCCKAAGCCGGUUGGCCSGCCGSUGGUAAGACCGGGGCUCAACUCCGGUUCUGCAGUGGGUACGGGCAGACUAGAGUGCAGUAGGGGAGACUGGAAUUCCUGGUGUAGCGGUGAAAUGCGCAGAUAUCAGGAGGAACACCGAUGGCGAAGGCAGGUCUCUGGGCUGUAACUGACGCUGAGGAGCGAAAGCAUGGGGAGCGAACAGGAUUAGAUACCCUGGUAGUCCAUGCCGUAAACGUUGGGCACUAGGUGUGGGGGACAUUCCACGUUUUCCGCGCCGUAGCUAACGCAUUAAGUGCCCCGCCUGGGGAGUACGGCCGCAAGGCUAAAACUCAAAGGAAUUGACGGGGGCCCGCACAAGCGGCGGAGCAUGCGGAUUAAUUCGAUGCAACGCGAAGAACCUUACCAAGGCUUGACAUGGACCGGAAAGACCUGGAAACAGGUGCCCCGCUUGCGGCCGGUUUACAGGUGGUGCAUGGUUGUCGUCAGCUCGUGUCGUGAGAUGUUGGGUUAAGUCCCGCAACGAGCGCAACCCUCGUUCUAUGUUGCCAGCGGUUCGGCCGGGGACUCAUAGGAGACUGCCGGGGUCAACUCGGAGGAAGGUGGGGACGACGUCAAAUCAUCAUGCCCCUUAUGUCUUGGGCUUCACGCAUGCUACAAUGGCCGGUACAAAGGGUUGCGAUACUGUGAGGUGGAGCUAAUCCCAAAAAGCCGGUCUCAGUUCGGAUUGGGGUCUGCAACUCGACCCCAUGAAGUCGGAGUCGCUAGUAAUCGCAGAUCAGCAACGCUGCGGUGAAUACGUUCCCGGGCCUUGUACACACCGCCCGUCAAGUCACGAAAGUUGGUAACACCCGAAGCCGGUGGCCUAACCCUUGUGGGGGGAGCCGUCGA
rnacentral:rRNA from 1 species